rnacentral:rRNA from 1 species
UACAGAGGUCUCAAGCGUUGUUCGGAUUCAUUGGGCGUAAAGGGUGCGUAGGCGGCGCGGUAAGUCGGGUGUGAAAUCAUCGGAGCUUAACUCCGAAACUGCAUUCGAUACUGCCGUGCUUGAGGACUGGAGAGGAGACUGGAAUUUACGGUGUAGCGGUGAAAUGCGUAGAUAUCGUAAGGAAGACCAGUGGCGAAGGCGGGUCUCUGGACAGUUCCUGACGCUGAGGCACGAAGGUCAGGGGAGCAAAACGGGG